GAUGAACGCUAGCGGUAUGCUUAACACAUGCAAGUCGAGGGGCAGGACAAGGUGGCUUGCUUUGUUGGUUGCGACCGGCGCACGUGUGCAUAACGCGUAUACAACUUGCGCUAUACAGGGAUAUAACCGGUCAAAAGGCGCACUAAUACUACUUCAGCUCACAACGUAUCGUCAAUGGGUGAAAGGCGGAGUUCGGUAUAAGAUAGGCAUGCGUCCCAUUCGCUUUUGGGUGAUGUAACGGCUGACGAAGGCAACGAUGGCGAGGGGAACUGGGAGUUUUAUCCCUCACACUGGUACUGGGACACGGACCAGACGCGUACGGGAGGCAGCAGUGCGGACGAUUGGUGAAUGGGCGCGAGCCUGAAACAGCCAAGUCGCGUGAAGGAUGACUGUGUUAUGGAUCGUAAACUUCUUUUAUAAGGGAAUAACAAGAGUCAAGGGUGACUCCGUGAAGGUACCGUAUGAAGAAGCCCCGGCUAACUACGUG
rnacentral:rRNA from 1 species